rnacentral:rRNA from 1 species
UUCGCAGGGGGUUUGCCAAGUCUGAUGUGAAAUCUCACGGCUCAACCGUGAAACUGCAUUGGAUACUGGCGAACUAGAGUCCAUGAUGGGAGAGCGGAAUUCCUGGUGUAGCGGUGGAAUGCGUAGAUAUCAGGAAGAACACCGAUGGCGAAGGCGGCUCUUUGGCAUGGUACUGACCCUCAGGGACGAAAGCGUGGGGAGCAAACAGGAUUAGAUACCCUGGUAGUCC